AAAAAACUUUAACUAGACGCCGCAGAAACUACUAACCAGCGUUGUUUUCACUCCCCGGUUCUGGGUGGCUGGGAUAAGACGCAGAAACAGCGGAGGAUACAGGACGAGGCAGAGAGGGACAGCCGCGUCAGCCAAUCAGAAGUGAGCGCCUGGAGUGCAGGAGGAGCAGAGGAGGAGGGCAGUGAUGGGAGGAACCCAAAACGAUCCCAGCGAACCUCCCUGCGCUUCUGAAAAAGGAAACUCACAGCAGCAAAGGUCCAACUCGUGAUGUGAUGAAUCACCAGAGCGAUGAUUCGCUUCACAGAAAUAAGAAAAGCAAACAGCUAAAAGCAGAAAACCUCUGGCCUGAAGUUGUACUUUUCCCCAGUGAUCCAGACCGGCUGGACUUUUUUUUUUGUUUUUAGGUCAAUGUGGGAGCAGUCGGAGCCGAAGGCGAUCAAUAACGCUGCCCCAAAACAUGUCAGCCGGUGAUUGGCUGGCGCUGUUUGAAGCAGAUCUUAAGUAACAUCUUGUCUUUGAUUCAUUAUUCAUCCAAACCUUGAGAAGAAACGUAUCGACAACAUCUCUGGGUCAGAUGGAGCCUCGGGUCAGGCUGCUCCAGAAGCACCUGCAGCUUAAUUCAGGAAAUAUCAUAAAAACAACCAGAUUAAUGAUCCGGUUGAAAUGGUUCCAGUGACAUUUCUGCUUCACAAACUUUACUGAAUCAUAUUUUUAUGACGCUAAGGAGGGUUUUGUCCUGUACUUUGUGUUUCAUGUUGUAAAACAUUCUAAGGUGGUUUGGCUUGAAAAUGAGACCCCAGCCUCAUAACUGUGAAAUGUUUCUCUCAGAGCUAAACCGAAUCACUUGGAGUUGUGCUGUCUGACCUUUGACCUGUCAAAACAAGAAGAGACGUAAUAGUUUAAUUUUCUGAGACUCAACUUUAGGUUUUCUGGAGCCAUAAUCAUCAAAAUUGUGUGUAGUGAGACUAUAUAA